rnacentral:rRNA from 1 species
UACGUAGGGGGCAAGCGUUAUCCGGAUUUACUGGGUGUAAAGGGAGCGUAGACGGCUGUGCAAGCCAGAUGUGAAAGCCCGGGGCUCAACCCCGGGACUGCAUUUGGAACUGUGUAGCUGGAGUGUCGGAGAGGCAGGCGGAAUUCCUAGUGUAGCGGUGGAAUGCGUAGAUAUUAGGAGGAACACCAGUGGCGAAGGCGGCCUGCUGGACGAUGACUGACGUUGAGGCUCGAAAGCGUGGGGAGCAAACAGG